rnacentral:rRNA from 1 species
AUUGAACGCUGGCGGCAGGCCUAACACAUGCAAGUCGAGCGGGGUUUUCGGACCUAGCGGCGGACGGGUGAGUAAUGCGUAGGAAGCUACCCGAUAGAGGGGGAUACCAGUUGGAAACGACUGUUAAUACCGCAUAAUGUCUACGGACCAAAGUGUGGGACCUUCGGGCCACAUGCUAUCGGAUGCGCCUACGUGGGAUUAGCUAGUUGGUGGGGUAAUGGCUCACCAAGGCGACGAUCCCUAGCUGGUUUGAGAGGAUGAUCAGCCACACUGGCACUGAGACACGGGCCAGACUCCUACGGGAGGCAGCAGUGGGGAAGAUUGGACAAUGGGCGCAAGCCUGAUCCAGCCAUGCCGCGUGUGUGAAGAAGGCCUUCGGGUUGUAAAGCACUUUCAGUAGGGAGGAAGGGUGUUGUGUUAAUAGCGCAGCAUUUUGACGUUACCUACAGAAGAAGCACCGGCUAACUCUGUGCCAGCAGCCGCGGUAACAC